UGUGUGAUCAUCACGCUUCUGGAUAACUGCAAUGAGGAAUGGCACACUGUAGAGGACAACAAUGCCUUGGGGUAAAUGUCCCUCCGUCAGAGGAAGAAGAAGGCGGAGGCGGCGACGAGGAGACAAUGAGAAAAUGCAAGCAUAAUGGCGGAAAAGAGAGACAAAAUAAUUUUUUUUUAAAAAUCUAAAAAAAAAAAAAGCUUUCGGUACUAGAAAUUUAUUCCGCCAAAGCAGAAAUAUUCCUGUGACCGACAGGAAUGGCGCCUUAGUUCAUGCGGGGGAGUAAAGGCUGACGCUCUGAGCCGAUCCCUUUUUAGCAAAGCUAUCGCUGAAAAUGCUGGGCCAUAUGGCAAGAUGCUCUUGACCGCUUGCCAGCUGAUCGUCUGCCGACCAGGAUUUGAGUAAAUGGGAUCUGGAAUCGUGAUGAGUGAACUCCCUCUGGAUCGCCUGGAAGCAGCUGAGGUUCAUUCAGAGCAUCCUCCAGAUGAUAUGGAGACGAAGGUAACUCGUUUGCAGCUUGCGUGAGCUACAUUUAGCGAUCAAACACUCUCCUUCAAUUCUUGUUACAUAAACACAAUUUUGUCCCACUAGUUCACAUUACAAUGUAACAUCUGUUGCCAGUACUGAUUUGAAUUUUCAAUUUCCAGCUCCUCCAUCUUGCAGUCAUUCAACACCUGCGAGUUGAAUGUCUUUUAGGAUUGCGACAAAGAAAAGUUAUUCAUCCAGCAGCUGUUCGACUCCCAUUCUAGUACGCAGUGCCAACAAAAAAAGGUUGUGCUUCGAACAGAAGUAGGGAGUGGUGGUAGGACAAUGACAACCACAAGAUCCCAUUCACCACCACCAAAGAAUAAAAUCCAGAUGUGGAGAAGGUUUUGCUAGAUUUUAUGUGCAAGGUAAUAAAAACCUGGACUAUUUGUAAAGGAGGAGAAUUAGGAGGAAGAAAGGGCAAGUGUGGGAGUCCCAUUUGUUCAUGCAAUUUUGUCUCAUGUAAAUUCUG